rnacentral:lncRNA from 1 species
CUACUUUGACUCGCUCUGGCUAAGGUUCCCACCCGUACAACGCCUUUACUUCUAUGAAUCAACAUCUUCUUCUUCCACUACUACUACCGAUUCUCUACUUGCCUAUCUCAAAACCUCGCUCUCUCUCACUCUCAAACACUUCGGACCUCUCGCCGGAAACCUAACUUGGCCUCAGGACUCCCCCAGACCCGUUCUCAGCUAUGUCGAAGGCGACGCCGUUUCGCUCACAGUAGCCGAAUCGACCGAUGCUGAUAAUUUCGACCACCUUUCGAGCAACAGCGUCUUUGUCGAAUCCAGAGCUUACCAUCCACUUGUUCCCCAAUUGGAGUCGUCUCACGAACGAGCUGCAGCCAUUGCCUUGCAAAUAACCCUAUUUCCUGGCCGUGGCUUUGCCAUCGGAACAGCCAUGCACCAUGCCAUCCUUGACGGCAAAACAUCAAUCUCGUUUGUUAAGUCGUGGGCUCAUGCAUGCAGCAAACAAGUCGAAAAUGGCGUAUCCGAUAUUGGAUCAGAUGUCUCGUUACCGGAGAAGUUGAAGCCGUUAUAUGACAGAACGGUCAUCCAUAACCCGACCGGGCUCGGACUCGAAUCCAUCUACUUGAAGGAAUGGCAAAACAUGGAUGGCCCCAACAACAGAAGCCUAAAGAUUUGGGAGUUGAAAGCUCCACCAGAUGACUCAGUUCGAGGCAUCUUUGAGUUCACUCGCGGACAUAUACAAACCCUAAGGCAGAUGGUAGUUGAAAAAGUUUCUGAUCUUCAUUUGUCAACGUUUUCUUUAGUGUGUGCUUAUACUUGGGUUUGUUUAGUCAAGGCACAAGAAGUAGACGCCGGAAAAACUUCAUAUCAGGUAUUUAGUGUGGACUGUAGGUCUCGCUUGGACCCUCCGGUACCGGAAAACUAUUUCGGGAACUGCACGAGGGGUGUGCCGGUGUUUGCAGAGGCAAAUGAGUUAUUGGGUGAAGAUGGGUUGGUCGUGGCGGUCACAGCAAUUAGUGAAGCUAUAAAGGGUUUGGACAAGAAUGGGGUUUUGAAGGGGGCCGACGAGGUUUACGUUUCGAAAGUCAAGGACUAUUUUGGGGUUGAGGGAUUCUAUUCUACUGCUGGUUCUCACCGAUUUCAGAUAUAUGAUACCGACUUCGGAUGGGGUAGGCCGACGAAAGUUGAGGUGGUUUCUAUAGAUAGGACCGGAGCAUUUUCAGUGUCGGAUUCCAAGAAUGGUGGUGGAGGUGUAGAGGUCGGGGUGGUUCUGAAGAAACAUGUUAUGGAGGCUUUUGCUUCUCUAUUUGCUAAAGGUUUUGGAAAACACUGAGUGAGAGGAGUUGAGAAAAGCCCUAUUUGCAGUUGUGAAUUGUGAUCGAGCUAUAUAUGUCGUUGAUUACCUAAUAAUAUAGCUUUUAUUGAAGAAUAUGUGCCUUGGUUUCAAGGAGGUAAGUUUUACGUAGUGGUGUGUCCUUCUGCUACUUGAGUACUUGAUGGACUCGUUUCGAUCUACUUCGUAUAUGUACAAUUUAGUUUUAUCUCAAUAAAGAUUGUGGUUAUUCUAUUCAAAAAGCACACACGCAUAAAUCUGGGUUCGGAUUCAACAUGGGGUGAGGACGUGAGGUAUGUGAUAUAUGUAUGUCAUUUUAAUUUUCAUUUAUUUGUUUAUUCAAUUGAAUUUGCUGGUUCUAACUUAUAACUACUUGGUUAGCAUAUAUAUAUAUAUAAGAUAUGGAGACGAUACGAGAACUUUGAACGUGUAUAUAACUUCUAAAUUUUGCUAACACCCAGAUUUUGGGACAAGUCAAUGUAUAAUAUACUUACGUAGAAUGCAGCUAUGAAGUAGUAAUUUUAAAUUGAUAUUCAGUUCGUCACCAUUUAUGUAAUUUUGCUUACAAUGUCGUUCUGAACUACAAAGAUAUAGUAUUCAUCUAGAUUCAUAAGAUGAAAACAAAGAUUAAAAUAUCGGUAUCGGUGUAUCUAUUGGUACUUUGAAAAAAUGAGAUAUCUGAUAUAUCGGGGAUAUCCGGAAAAAAAUAUCGGAAUUUUGGAAAGAAAUUUUUUUUUCUGAAAUAUUUAAAUUAUUAAAUUUACAUAUAAAUAUUACAAACAUUAACUUUAUCUACAUCUAGAAUGAGAAUCUAGGUUGUUGAUAAGACACACGCUGGUCCACAAAAGUACAAUAAUCAGACUAAGACAUAUGACUCAUAUAGUAUGUGUAGUGUUGAAUAUGAUAAUCAUAUAUCUCUUUAGAGAAGCCGAUUGUUUCCCCUAUAAGUGGAUAGUAAGAAUGAAUUCAACUAGAUGACUGAUCACUCAUUUCUGCGCAUUGAUUAUAGCCAUAUUGAUUGUUGCCUUCUUAGGAUUGUUUGAGGUUCCAGUCCCACUACCUAAACUGAUAGACUCAAAAUUUAGCGCAACUGAAGCAACAUCUUGAUUAUCAUUUACACCUCUUGCGCUCCACACCUAGUACUCACUACCAGGACAAACACUUUAGUCGACGAAAAAGUUUCGUCGGCCUGUUAGCUUAAUUCGUCGGCUAAGAUUUCGUCAGGAAAAGGUCGUCGGCAAUGACUUUAGCCGACGAAACUAGAAGACGUCGUCGGCUUUAGUCCCAUAAUUUAGCCGACGAAAAAGAGAUCGUCGGCUUUUUUCCCAGAAUUUAGCCGACGAAUAUCUUAAAUGUUUCGUCGACCGUAGUCUGAGACUUUAGCCGACGAAACGUUUAAUAUAUUCGUCGGCUAAAGUAUGUAAUAAAAAAAUAACUAAAGCCGAUAAAAUAUAGUUUGUUUCGUCGGCUUUAGAAGGGUUUAGCCGACGAAACAUUCCAUAAUUCGUCGGCUAAACCUUAUAAAAAAAUUUAAAAAUACUAUAGCCGACGAAUUAUGACGUAUUUCGUCGGCUAUAAGUCCAUUCCAGUAAAAAAAAAAAACCCAAAAUUUCUAAAUUACCAUUCCAAACAAGCUGCAAAAUACACCAAAACAAUUCCAUAUAACCAACAACAAGCACAUAAAACUAUACAAAAUCUAGAUCGUCUAAAUUAAUAUCCGCUUUCGGGGGCUGCUGCGGAGGUUGCGGCGGCUGGGGUAGCGGUAUAGCCGGAGGCAUGGGCGGAGCCGGAAGUCCAUGAAGCUGGGCAGCUGUAAACUCCUGCAUAUACUGGAACAUCUGCUGCUGCUGGGCCUGCUGGAUGGCAUAUAUCUCUGCAACAUAGGCUACUUGCGCGGCAUUAUAGGCAACCUGAGCAGCUUGUUGUUCCCGUAGUCUCUGAACUUCCGACUCUAGCUGAGUCGUCCUGGUGGUUAUGGUCGUGGUCCUGCUGCUGGUCGAGGCUGCCUUUCGUUGAAAUCCUGGAGUGGUCUUCAGGACCCCCUCGCCCUUCUUUCCUAGACCCCUGCAAUAGAAGUUGUUUGCUCGCGGUGGGAAAGCUGUGCCCAUGAUCCUCACACCAACCGUCGGAUCUGAAGUGUCGAUCCGGAACAUGGCUUCGGACAUCUCUUCCUCCUGCGUGGCUGGCCAUGUCUCCCUCACUAUAGCACUCAUCACCUCGUCACUAGCCUCUCUCACCUUCGCCUAAUUGGAUAGGAAAAAAAUUAUUAAUUAACAUUUUAACAUAUAUAUAAGUAAAAUUAAAAAUUUAAAAACGUAAGAUGACUUACAAUAUCCUCCUGGCGUCAGGAUAUGCCUUCUUGUACGUAUAGACGUACCGGUUAACUUCUGGAUGUUCCCUGGCCGCCUCGUCCAUGAAGACAGCGAACGGUCUAGAACCGGCAUGAUGGUUCCUUGUGUUGCGUUGCCGGUUAUGAGUGUUUGCUCGGGAAACGGCCUUCAAAGAAAAAAAUAAACUAUUAGUAAAAUAUUUAAAAACGCACGUACUUAAUGACAAAUUAACUAAUUAAUUUUUUUAAAUACCUGUUUACGAGGGUUGUUAAAUUCUGAUGUCGGAAGCCAACGCCACUCGUACUCCAUGUACUGGAACUCAGCAGGGGUACCAGAACGUGUGUUCCCGUGCGUAGUCCAGUGGGUCCGCAACUCGUUCUUACACUCCUUGUACCUACAGAUACAACAAAAAUAUUAGAAAUAUUAUAAAUAUCACAUACAAUUUUGUUUUUUCAUUAACUUCCCAACGUACCUUCCCCCAUGCACAACUUCCGCCCAGCUGUUCUUCAGGUGCUCGGGAACCUCAAACCACACCUGUAUUUAACCGUUUAUUAGUUUAGUUUUUCGAGAAAUCAACAAUGUAAUACAUAAUAUUAUUGAGUCAUUUUGUAAACUCACCGACAUCGCGUUGUGGACCAUGUCCUUAACCUCCUGCAGGACCUCACCCUAGUCUGACCACAACAUAGGGACUCUAUCUCUGAUGAGCGCUCCCACGCGGCCGGAGUACGUCAUCGAUUUCCCGCCCGAUACUAUGUUGNNNNNNNNNNNNNNNNNNNNUAUAAGGUUCCAAUACUCCUUGGAACGGAUAAAGUUCUCCAUCAUCAAUGCCCAAUGAGCAUAAUGCCCAUCAAACUUUGGAAUUGCUACUGGCACAAAACUACCCUCAGCUGCCAUUCUCUCACUCUCUGCAAAGAAAUCUUAUUUCAAUGCUCCUUAGGUCAGGCCCCAGUGAUGGGGCUCUGAUACCAGAUGUUGAAAAACCAAAUCCUAGAAACAAAUAACUCUCAAGCUUUUGAUGGAUGAUUCUUAUUCAAUUCAAGAAACAACUACGGCUUAUAUAGCCAUUACAGAAGGAUAAGAAAUUCAAAACAAACCACAUCUUUACAACCCUAAGACUGUGGUCGACUCAACUAAAGAAUAGCUCAAACUCUAACUAGUAAAUAACAAGCUCCUCAUAACUAGGAGUUAUUAACAGAUACGAAGACCAAGCAAUCCUAUCAACUCAAACUACUUAACCAUCAUCCAAUUGAAAUGCAACGACCAAGUCUCCAACAGAUUCAUGCGAAUGGUAUAUACUUGUUUCUUGAUUUCAAAUGAAUCAAUAAUUGAUUCAUCACUCCCAGCUUUAUAUUUCCAUGGCUCUUGAAUUCCAAAACAUACAGUUGAGUAAGAGAAAGGGAAACUGAGAUGUCGAUCUACAUUCUCCCUCCUUUCAAAUCUAAUCUCUAUAAACCAAACCAGAAGCUUGAAUUGGCUUGAUUAUGAUGAUGAGCAAGUGAAUAUGGUUGGUCGGGAAAUUUGGUCUACUGGUAAAUAAAGAUAGCAGACCUGACUUUCAUUCUCUUUUUCAUGAGGAUGAACGACUGGGCUUCCUCAAUUUGUUUUGUUUGAAAAGGUUUCUUCUUCCUUUCAUAUGAACCAGGAUGUGAUCGAUGUUUAAUUGUUUAUGUUUGCAGACCCACUAACACUGUUAUCUCGAACGUUAAUGAUUGGGUGAUGUGUUAAAUAAAAAACCACGUGUCUUGUGCUUAUUGGCUGGGAGGAAGAUCCAUUCGGGGCCUAGCCUAUUAGUUAACAGCUUGUCUUUGUUCAUCAAUCACUUCAAGGUGCACGUACAAUUCAAUACGGUGUUAAAUUUGUUUGGUGGAACAGCCUGGAUCGAAUAAAUUCAACUUCAAUGGAUGAAUUAUUGAAAUAAAUUCAGACACCGACGUUUUGGUGUGUAUAUGGUCAGAUUCAAAAGCUAGCUAGCUGUAAGCAUACAUUGGGAUCUUCUUCUUCCCCAAUGGGGCAACCAAGCUCGGUGAAACUGGUGGAGAUUUGCAGGGUGGCUCCAAAACCAGGAGCACAAGUGGAUCUGUUGUCCCUUCCUCUCACUUACUUUGACUCGCUCUGGCUAAGGUUCCCACCCGUACAACGCCUUUAGUUCUAUGAAUCAACAUCUUCUUCUUCCACUACUACUACUGAUUCUCUAAUUGCCUAUCUCAAAACCUCGCUCUCUCUCACUCUCAAACACUUCGUACCUCUCGCCGGAAACCUAACUUGGCCUCAGGACUCCCCCAGACCCGUUCUCAGCUAUGUCGAAGGCGACGCCGUUUCGCUCACAGUAGCCGAAUCGACCGAUGCUGAUAAUUUCGACCACCUUUCGAGCAACAGCGUCUUUGUCGAAUCCAGAGCUUACCAUCCACUUGUUCCCCAAUUGGAGUCGUCUCACGAACGAGCUGCAGCCAUUGCCUUGCAAAUAACCCUAUUUCCUGGCCGUGGCUUUGCCAUCGGAACAGCCAUGCACCA